CGGACGGGUGAGUAAUGUAUGGGGAUCUGCCUGAUGGCGGGGGAUAACUACUGGAACGGUAGCUAAUACCGCAUAAUGUCUACGGACCAAAGCGGGGGACCUCCGGGCCUCGCGCCAUCAGAUGAACCCAUAUGGGAUUAGCUUGUAGGUAAGGUAACGGCUUACCUAGGCGACGAUCCCUAGCUGGUCUGAGAGGAUGAUCAGCCACACUGGGACUGAGACACGGCCCAG
rnacentral:rRNA from 1 species